GAGUUUGAUCAUGGCUCAGAUUGAACGCUGGCGGCAGGCCUAACACAUGCAAGUCGAACGGUAACAGAAAGCAGCUUGCUGCUUUGCUGACGAGUGGCGGACGGGUGAGUAAUGUCUGGGAAACUGCCUGAUGGAGGGGGAUAACUACUGGAAACGGUAGCUAAUACCGCAUAACGUCGCAAGACCAAAGAGGGGGACCUUCGGGCCUCUUGCCAUCGGAUGUGCCCAGAUGGGAUUAGCUUGUUGGUGGGGUAACGGCUCACCAAGGCGACGAUCCCUAGCUGGUCUGAGAGGAUGACCAGCCACACUGGAACUGAGACACGGUCCAGACUCCUACGGGAGGCAGCAGUGGGGAAUAUUGCACAAUGGGCGCAAGCCUGAUGCAGCCAUGCCGCGUGUAUGAAGAAGGCCUUCGGGUUGUAAAGUACUUUCAGCGGGGAGGAAGGGAGUAAAGUUAAUACCUUUGCUCAUUGACGUUACCCGCAGAAGAAGCACCGGCUAACUCCGUGCCAGCAGCCGCGGUAAUACGGAGGGUGCAAGCGUUAAUCGGAAUUACUGGGCGUAAAGCGCACGCAGGCGGUUUGUUAAGUCAGAUGUGAAAUCCCCGGGCUCAACCUGGGAACUGCAUCUGAUACUGGCAAGCUUGAGUCUCGUAGAGGGGGGUAGAAUUCCAGGUGUAGCGGUGAAAUGCGUAGAGAUCUGGAGGAAUACCGGUGGCGAAGGCGGCCCCCUGGACGAAGACUGACGCUCAGGUGCGAAAGCGUGGGGAGCAAACAGGAUUAGAUACCCUGGUAGUCCACGCCGUAAACGAUGUCGACUUGGAGGUUGUGCCCUUGAGGCGUGGCUUCCGGAGCUAACGCGUUAAGUCGACCGCCUGGGGAGUACGGCCGCAAGGUUAAAACUCAAAUGAAUUGACGGGGGCCCGCACAAGCGGUGGAGCAUGUGGUUUAAUUCGAUGCAACGCGAAGAACCUUACCUGGUCUUGACAUCCACGGAAGUUUUCAGAGAUGAGAAUGUGCCUUCGGGAACCGUGAGACAGGUGCUGCAUGGCUGUCGUCAGCUCGUGUUGUGAAAUGUUGGGUUAAGUCCCGCAACGAGCGCAACCCUUAUCCUUUGUUGCCAGCGGUCCGGCCGGGAACUCAAAGGAGACUGCCAGUGAUAAACUGGAGGAAGGUGGGGAUGACGUCAAGUCAUCAUGGCCCUUACGACCAGGGCUACACACGUGCUACAAUGGCGCAUACAAAGAGAAGCGACCUCGCGAGAGCAAGCGGACCUCAUAAAGUGCGUCGUAGUCCGGAUUGGAGUCUGCAACUCGACUCCAUGAAGUCGGAAUCGCUAGUAAUCGUGGAUCAGAAUGCCACGGUGAAUACGUUCCCGGGCCUUGUACACACCGCCCGUCACACCAUGGGAGUGGGUUGCAAAAGAAGUAGGUAGCUUAACCUUCGGGAGGGCGCUUACCACUUUGUGAUUCAUGACUGGGGUGAAGUCGUAACAAGGUAACCGUAGGGGAACCUGCGGUUGGAUCACC
rnacentral:rRNA from 1 species